GACGAACGCUGGCGGCGUGCUUAACACAUGCAAGUCGAACGGAAAGGCCCUGCUUUUGUGGGGUGCUCGAGUGGCGAACGGGUGAGUAACACGUGAGUAACCUGCCCUUGACUUUGGGAUAACUUCAGGAAACUGGGGCUAAUACCGGAUAGGAGCUCCUGCUGCAUGGUGGGGGUUGGAAAGUUUCGGCGGUUGGGGAUGGACUCGCGGCUUAUCAGCUUGUUGGUGGGGUAGUGGCUUACCAAGGCUUUGACGGGUAGCCGGCCUGAGAGGGUGACCGGCCACAUUGGGACUGAGAUACGGCCCAGACUCCUACGGGAGGCAGCAGUGGGGAAUACUGCACAAUGGGCGGAAGCCUGAUGCAGCAACGCCGCGUGCGGGAUGACGGCCUUGGGGUUGUAAACCGCUUUCGCCUGUGACGAAGCGUGAGUGACGGUAAUGGGUAAAGAAGCACCGGCUAACUACGUG
rnacentral:rRNA from 1 species